rnacentral:rRNA from 1 species
AUACAGAGGGUGCAAGCGUUAAUCGGAAUUACUGGGCGUAAAGCGAGCGUAGGUGGCUUGAUAAGUCAGAUGUGAAAUCCCCGGGCUUAACCUGGGAACUGCAUCUGAUACUGUUAGGCUAGAAUAGGUGAGAGGAAGGUAGAAUUCCAGGUGUAGCGGUGAAAUGCGUAGAGAUCUGGAGGAAUACCGAUGGCGAAGGCAGCCUUCUGGCAUCAUAUUGACACUGAGGUUCGAAAGCGUGGGUAGCAAACAGGAUUAGAAACCCUAGUAGUCC